rnacentral:rRNA from 1 species
AUUGAACGCUGGCGGCAGGCCUAACACAUGCAAGUCGAACGGUAACAGGGAUCAGCUUGCUGAUUCGCUGACGAGUGGCGGACGGGUGAGUAAUGUCUGGGAAACUGUCUGAUGGAGGGGGAUAACUACUGGAAACGGUAGCUAAUACCGCAUAACGUCGCAAGACCAAAGAGGGGGACCUUCGGGCCUCUUGCCAUCGGAUGUGCCCAGAUGGGAUUAGCUAGUAGGUGGGGUAACGGCUCACCUAGGCGACGAUCCCUAGCUGGUCUGAGAGGAUGACCAGCCACACGGGAACUGAGACACGGUCCAGACUCCUACGGGAGGCAGCAGUGGGGAAUAUUGCACAAUGGGCGCAAGCCUGAUGCAGCCAUGCCGCGUGUAUGAAGAAGGCCUUCGGGUUGUAAAGUACUUUCAGCGGGGAGGAAGGGAGUAAAGUUAAUACCUUUGCUCAUUGACGUUACCCGCAGAAGAAGCACCGGCUAACUCCGUG